rnacentral:rRNA from 1 species
GGGGGGAACCCUGAUCCAGCCAUGCCGCGUGUGUGAAGAAGGCCUUUUGGUUGUAAAGCACUUUAAGCGAGGAGGAGGCUACUCUAGUUAAUACCUAGGGAUAGUGGACGUUACUCGCAGAAUAAGCACCGGCUAACUCUGUGCCAGCAGCCGCGGUAAUACAGAGGGUGCGAGCGUUAAUCGGAUUUACUGGGCGUAAAGCGUGCGUAGGCGGCUUUUUAAGUCGGAUGUGAAAUCCCUGAGCUUAACUUAGGAAUUGCAUUCGAUACUGGGAAGCUAGAGUAUGGGAGAGGAUGGUAGAAUUCCAGGUGUAGCGGUGAAAUGCGUAGAGAUCUGGAGGAAUACCGAUGGCGAAGGCAGCCAUCUGGCCUAAUACUGACGCUGAGGUACGAAAGCAUGGGGAGCAAACAGGAUUAGAUACCCUGGUAGUCCAUGCCGUAAACGAUGUCUACUAGCCGUUGGGGCCUUUGAGGCUUUAGUGGCGCAGCUAACGCGAUAAGUAGACCGCCUGGGGAGU